rnacentral:rRNA from 1 species
AAAUUGAAGAGUUUGAUCAUGGCUCAGAUUGAACGCUGGCGGCAGGCCUAACACAUGCAAGUCGAGCGGUAGCACAGAGAGCUUGCUCUCGGGUGACGAGCGGCGGACGGGUGAGUAAUGUCUGGGAAACUGCCUGAUGGAGGGGGAUAACUACUGGAAACGGUAGCUAAUACCGCAUAACGUCGCAAGACCAAAGUGGGGGACCUUCGGGCCUCAUGCCAUCAGAUGUGCCCAGAUGGGAUUAGCUAGUAGGUGGGGUAAUGGCUCACCUAGGCGACGAUCCCUAGCUGGUCUGAGAGGAUGACCAGCCACACUGGAACUGAGACACGGUCCAGACUCCUACGGGAGGCAGCAGUGGGGAAUAUUGCACAAUGGGCGCAAGCCUGAUGCAGCCAUGCCGCGUGUGUGAAGAAGGCCUUCGGGUUGUAAAGCACUUUCAGCGGGGAGGAAGGCGUUAAGGUUAAUAACCUGGGCGAUUGACGUUACCCGCAGAAGAAGCACCGGCUAACUCCGUGCCAGCAGCCGCGGUAAUACGGAGGGUGCAAGCGUUAAUCGGAAUUACUGGGCGUAAAGCGCACGCAGGCGGUCUGUCAAGUCGGAUGUGAAAUCCCCGGGCUCAACCCGGGAACUGCAUUCGAAACUGGCAGGCUAGAGUCUUGUAGAGGGGGGUAGAAUUCCGGUGUAGCGGUGAAAUGCGUAGAGAUCUGGAGGAAUACCGGUGGCGAAGGCGGCCCCCUGGACAAAGACUGACGCUCAGGUGCGAAAGCGUGGGGAGCAAACAGGAUUAGAUACCCUGGUAGUCCACGCCGUAAACGAUGUCGAUUUGGAGGUUGUGCCCUUGAGGCGUGGCUUCCGGAGCUAACGCGUUAAAUCGACCGCCUGGGGAGUACGGCCGCAAGGUUAAAACUCAAAUGAAUUGACGGGGGCCCGCACAAGCGGUGGAGCAUGUGGUUUAAUUCGAUGCAACGCGAAGAACCUUACCUGGUCUUGACAUCCACAGAACUUUCCAGAGAUGGAUUGGUGCCUUCGGGAACUGUGAGACAGGUGCUGCAUGGCUGUCGUCAGCUCGUGUUGUGAAAUGUUGGGUUAAGUCCCGCAACGAGCGCAACCCUUAUCCUUUGUUGCCAGCGGUUAGGCCGGGAACUCAAAGGAGACUGCCAGUGAUAAACUGGAGGAAGGUGGGGAUGACGUCAAGUCAUCAUGGCCCUUACGACCAGGGCUACACACGUGCUACAAUGGCAUAUACAAAGAGAAGCGACCUCGCGAGAGCAAGCGGACCUCAUAAAGUAUGUCGUAGUCCGGAUUGGAGUCUGCAACUCGACUCCAUGAAGUCGGAAUCGCUAGUAAUCGUAGAUCAGAAUGCUACGGUGAAUACGUUCCCGGGCCUUGUACACACCGCCCGUCACACCAUGGGAGUGGGUUGCAAAAGAAGUAGGUAGCUUAACCUUCGGGAGGGCGCUUACCACUUUGUGAUUCAUGACUGGGGUGAAGUCGUAACAAGGUAACCGUAGGGGAACCUGCGGUUGGAUCACCUCCUUA